rnacentral:rRNA from 1 species
AUUGAACGCUGGCGGCAGGCCUAAUACAUGAAAGUCGAGCGGAGCGUCGAACGGGUGAGUAAUGCCUAGGAAUCUGCCCGGUAGUGGGGGAUAACGUCCGGAAACGGGCGCUAAUACCGCAUAAUAUCAGAUGAGCCUCGGUCGGAUUAGCUAGUUGGUGGGGUAAAGGCCUACCAAGGCGACGAUGCAUAACUGGGCUGAGAGGAUGAUCAGUCACACUGGAACUGAGACACGGCCCAGACUCCUACGGGAGGCAGCAGUGGGGAAUAUUGGACAAUGGGCGAAAGCCUGAUCCAGCAAUGCCGCGUGUGUGAAGAAGGUCUUCGGAUUGUAAAACACUUUAAGUUGGGAAGCGUUACCAAACCAAUAAGCACCGGCUAACUUCGUGCCAGCAGACGCGGUAAUUC